UACGGAGGUGGCAAGCGUUGUUCGGAAUUACUGGGCGUAAAGGGCGCGUAGGCGGCUAGACAAGUCAGAUGUGAAAGCCCCGGGCUUAACUCGGGAAUUGCAUCUGAAACUGACUAGCUUGAGUUCUGGAGGGGAUGGUGGAAUUCCCAGUGUAGCGGUGAAAUGCGUAGAUAUUGGGAGGAACACCUGCGGCGAAGGCGGCCAUCUGGACAGUAACUGACGCUGAGGCGCGAAAGCUAGGGGAG
rnacentral:rRNA from 1 species